rnacentral:rRNA from 1 species
GGAGCUUGCUCCUGUGAUUAGUGGCGAACGGGUGAGUAACACGUGAGUAACCUGCCCCUGACUCUGGGAUAAGCGUUGGAAACGACGUCUAAUACUGGAUAUGAUCACUGGCCGCAUGGUCUGGUGGUGGAAAGAUUUUUUGGUUGGGGAUGGACUCGCGGCCUAUCAGCUUGUUGGUGAGGUAAUGGCUCACCAAGGCGACGACGGGUAGCCGGCCUGAGAGGGUGACCGGCCACACUGGGACUGAGACACGGCCCAGACUCCUACGGGAGGCAGCAGUGGGGAAUAUUGCACAAUGGGCGAAAGCCUGAUGCAGCAACGCCGCGUGAGGGAUGACGGCCUUCGGGUUGUAAACCUCUUUUAGUAGGGAAGAAGCGAAAGUGACGGUACCUGCAGAAAAAGCACCGGCUAACUACGUGCCAGCAGCCGCGGUAAUACGUAGGGUGCAAGCGUUGUCCGGAAUUAUUGGGCGUAAAGAGCUCGUAGGCGGUUUGUCGCGUCUGCUGUGAAAUCCCGAGGCUCAACCUCGGGCUUGCAGUGGGUACGGGCAGACUAGAGUGCGGUAGGGGAGAUUGGAAUUCCUGGUGUAGCGGUGGAAUGCGCAGAUAUCAGGAGGAACACCGAUGGCGAAGGCAGAUCUCUGGGCCGUAACUGACGCUGAGGAGCGAAAGCGUGGGGAGCGAACAGGAUUAGAUACCCUGGUAGUCCACGCCGUAAACGUUGGGCGCUAGAUGUAGGGACCUUUCCACGGUUUCUGUGUCGUAGCUAACGCAUUAAGCGCCC